GGAUCCAUACUAAAACAACACUGGUUCCAACAAACCAAAGCAGGUCUAAACCUUUUGCUACGGUAACCUUAAUAGUCCAUUCAUAAAAAUACAAAAUUCAAACUCAUCUAGACUAAUUGGCUAAAGCCCAUAAUUUAUCCAACAUUAAAAACCAAACUUAAAAAUAAAACAGAAAGGAACAAACGUAACAAAGAAAACCAAACUAAUUAUAGAGUCUGAUGAUUUUCAGAAAUAUAGUAAACAACAUUUACAAACUAAUAUGGCAUAGAUUGCAACUCAAUCAAAUAACUUUGUGUUCUUCAUUUCACAUAUCAAAGAGAUGAGGAAUACCUGGUCAAAACAGCAAAACAAACAAAAAAUGAGCUGGGAGCAAAUAGAAGCAGCAGCAGUAGUAAACUCAAAUAAAGAGGAAAACCACAGCAGGAUCAGCUCGAAAAUCAACAAUGGAACAGUGAUGAAACCAGCAACUCAAACCAAUUUUGAAAUCCCAAUUCAAGGCAUUUUCCAAUCAGGUGCCAGAACUUGAAACUUUUCAGAAUUUUUAACUAACAAAGAGGAUCAGGAAACUGAAACCAAGUGAAAUUUGAGCAAUUUUCAACAAAAAAAAAUCAGGGUUUUCAGUGUUAUUUCAGAGUUUUACUCAAGUCUCAGCCGUUUCAAUUUUUUAGGAUUUCUAUAAUCCAAAAUCUGACUUGAGAGUGAAGAACCAAUGCCCUUUAUAGGGAGCUUUAGAGCAACAGAAAUGAGUCAAGUUAUUGACCUUUACUCCUUUUCAAUUUUUUGUUUUUGCUAGUUAAUCCUCAAAUUCGAAUUUUAUUUGUUAAAACAGUCCCAAACCCACCUUCCUAGCAGCUUUCUAAAUUAGUUAUGAGAGAUUCCCUUACGUAAAUUCCCUAAACCAACCCUUACACCCCUUGUAUUUAUCCCAGCCUGCUAAACGGGUCAAAUUGACCCAAGGUUAACUGACAUGGGUCUGUAAAACCUGGGCUAACCCCUUCUUUUGGGCUUCUGAUUUUCAGAGCCCAAUUUAAAUCACAAACAAGGCUCACUGAAUUGAUGGGUUAAUCGGAAUUUCCCAAAAGAAAACCAAAAAAUCUUUUAAAAUGGAAACCAAAAGAAAAAGGGUAAAUGAACUAAUUAUAACCAAAUAAUAAGAACCAAAACAAAAAAUUAAACUUGUUACUAAUCUAAUUAUGCAACAGAACCAUGAUUAAAACGAAAACAUGAUAAAGAAAGAGGAGACAGAAAAGAGAUGAAGAUGAGAAGAAGGAUAAAAGAAAAGAAAAAUAAAAAGAAAGAGAGUACCUAAACGGAAAGCAGCAAACGAGCAUGGGUUAAACAAACUCAAACAUGUCGAUUUUGAGCCGAUAUUGGCCUCAAUCAUGUGUUCUUGUUAAGAACAGACAAUCAAGGCCAGUUUCGACCCUUAAUCUUUGUCAAACUUCGGAUGAUUUUUGGUUUUCUGCUUUUCUUCUUUCAGAUCUACGAUGAGUUCUGCUUGGCGAGGAUUCGAGGGAUAUUAAUGGUGGAUUUGUGUUCCCAGGGGUGUGAGGGUUGUGUGGUUAAAGUUUAGUGGUGGUUUGGAGCUGUUUCGCCGGUAAAAAUAGAGGAACUCUUAGAGGCGGCGCUACGUUGAGGGAGAUGGUGUGUCUCUGAUGAGGGAGAUAAGAGACAGGAACAGUACGGUGUACUAGGUUAAUGGGGG
rnacentral:lncRNA from 1 species